GUUGAACGCUGGCGGCAUGCCUUACACAUGCAAGUCGAACGGCAGCACGGGAGCAAUCCUGGUGGCGAGUGGCGAACGGGUGAGUAAUGUAUCGGAACGUGCCCAGUCGUGGGGGAUAACGUAGCGAAAGCUACGCUAAUACCGCAUACGAUCUGUGGAUGAAAGCGGGGGACCGUAAGGCCUCGCGCGAUUGGAGCGGCCGAUAUCAGAUUAGGUAGUUGGUGGGGUAAAGGCCUACCAAGCCGACGAUCUGUAGCUGGUCUGAGAGGACGACCAGCCACACUGGGACUGAGACACGGCCCAGACUCCUACGGGAGGCAGCAGUGGGGAAUUUUUGACAAUGGGCGCAAGCCUGAUCCAGCAAUGCCGCGUGCAGGAUGAAGGCCUUCGGGUUGUAAACUGCUUUUGUACGGAACGAAAAGCCCCGGGUUAAUACCCUGGGGUCAUGACGGUACCGUAGGAAUAAGCACCGGCUAACUACGUGCCAGCCGCCGCCGUAA
rnacentral:rRNA from 1 species